rnacentral:rRNA from 1 species
GAUGAACGCUAGCGGCAGGCCUAAUACAUGCAAGUCGAACGGGGCAGCAAUGCCCAGUGGCGCACGGGUGCGUAACGCGUAGGCAAUCUGCCUACUCCUGGGGGAUAGCCCGCCGAAAGGUGGAUUAAUACCGCAUAACGCUGCAGGGUGGCAUCACCCAACAGCUAAAGAAUUUCGGGAGUAGAUGAGCCUGCGUGCCAUUAGCUAGUUGGUGCGGUAACGGCGCACCAAGGCGACGAUGGCUAGGGGAGCUGAGAGGCCGAUCCCCCACACUGGCACUGAGAUACGGGCCAGACGCCUACGGGAGGCAGCAGUAGGGAAUCUUGCACAAUGGGCGAAAGCCUGAUGCAGCCAUGCCGCGUGUGUGAAGAAGGCCUUCGGGUUGUAAAGCACUUUAAGCGGGGAGAAAAGGGUGGUAGCUAACAACUGCCACCUGUGAUGUUACCCGCAGAAUAAGCACCGGCAAACUUCGUGCCAGCCGCCGCAGUAACAC